GAUGAACGCUGGCGGCGUGCCUAAUACAUGCAAGUCGAGCGAACAGACGAGGAGCUUGCUCCUCUGUCGUUAGCGGCGGACGGGUGAGUAACACGUGGAUAACCUACCUAUAAGACUGGGAUAACUUCGGGAAACCGGAGCUAAUACCGGAUAAUAUAUUGAACCGCAUGGUUCAAUAGUGAAAGACGGUUUUGCUGUCACUUAUAGAUGGAUCCGCGCCGCAUUAGCUAGUUGGUAAGGUAACGGCUUACCAAGGCAACGAUGCGUAGCCGACCUGAGAGGGUGAUCGGCCACACUGGAACUGAGACACGGUCCAGACUCCUACGGGAGGCAGCAGUAGGGAAUCUUCCGCAAUGGGCGAAAGCCUGACGGAGCAACGCCGCGUGAGCGAUGAAGGUCUUCGGAUCGUAAAACUCUGUUAUUAGGGAAGAACAAAUGUGUAAGUAACUAUGCACGUCUUGACGGUACCUAAUCAGAAAGCCACGGCUAACUACGUG
rnacentral:rRNA from 1 species